UACGUAGGGUGCAAGCGUUAAUCGGAAUUACUGGGCGUAAAGCGUGCGCAGGCGGUUCGUUGUGUCUGUGGUGAAAGCCCCGGGCUUAACCUGGGAAUGGCCAUGGAAACUGGCGAGCUGGAGUGUGGCAGAGGGGGGUGGAAUUCCGCGUGUAGCAGUGAAAUGCGUAGAGAUGCGGAGGAACACCGAUGGCGAAGGCACCCCCCUGGGUUGACACUGACGCUCAGGCACGAAAGCGUGGGGAGCAAACAGC
rnacentral:rRNA from 1 species